GGUGCUUGCAUCAUGAUUUACAUUUGAGUGAGUGGCGAACUGGUGAGUAACACGUGGGAAACCUGCCCAGAAGCGGGGGAUAACACCUGGAAACAGAUGCUAAUACCGCAUAACAACUUGGACCGCAUGGUCCGAGCUUGAAAGAUGGCUUCGGCUAUCACUUUUGGAUGGUCCCGCGGCGUAUUAGCUAGAUGGUGGGGUAACGGCUCACCAUGGCAAUGAUACGUAGCCGACCUGAGAGGGUAAUCGGCCACAUUGGGACUGAGACACGGCCCAAACUCCUACGGGAGGCAGCAGUAGGGAAUCUUCCACAAUGGACGAAAGUCUGAUGGAGCAACGCCGCGUGAGUGAAGAAGGGUUUCGGCUCGUAAAACUCUGUUGUUAAAGAAGAACAUAUCUGAGAGUAACUGUUCAGGUAUUGACGGUAUUUAACCAGAAAGCCACGGCUAACUACGUGCCAGCAGCCGCGGUAAUACGUAGGUGGCAAGCGUUGUCCGGAUUUAUUGGGCGUAAAGCGAGCGCAGGCGGUUUUUUAAGUCUGAUGUGAAAGCCUUCGGCUCAACCGAAGAAGUGCAUCGGAAACUGGGAAACUUGAGUGCAGAAGAGGACAGUGGAACUCCAUGUGUAGCGGUGAAAUGCGUAGAUAUAUGGAAGAACACCAGUGGCGAAGGCGGCUGUCUGGUCUGUAACUGACGCUGAGGCUCGAAAGUAUGGGUAGCAAACAGGAUUAGAUACCCUGGUAGUCCAUACCGUAAACGAUGAAUGCUAAGUGUUGGAGGGUUUCCGCCCUUCAGUGCUGCAGCUAACGCAUUAAGCAUUCCGCCUGGGGAGUACGGCCGCAAGGCUGAAACUCAAAGGAAUUGACGGGGGCCCGCACAAGCGGUGGAGCAUGUGGUUUAAUUCGAAGCUACGCGAAGAACCUUACCAGGUCUUGACAUACUAUGCAAAUCUAAGAGAUUAGACGUUCCCUUCGGGGACAUGGAUACAGGUGGUGCAUGGUUGUCGUCAGCUCGUGUCGUGAGAUGUUGGGUUAAGUCCCGCAACGAGCGCAACCCUUAUUAUCAGUUGCCAGCAUUAAGUUGGGCACUCUGGUGAGACUGCCGG
rnacentral:rRNA from 2 species